CCUACGGGAGGCAGCAGUGGGGAAUAUUGCACAAUGGGGGAAACCCUGAUGCAGCGACGCCGCGUGAGUGAAGAAGCGUUUCGGCGCGUAAAGCUCUGUCAGCGGGGAAGAAACACGGUUCGCGAGAGCCGCGGACGGUACCCGACCAAGAAGCCCCGGCUAACUACGUGCCAGCAGCCGCGGUAAUACGUAGGGGGCAAGCGUUAUCCGGAUUCACUGGGUGUAAAGGGAGCGUAGACGGCGAGACAAGUCUGGAGUGAAAGGCCGGGGCCCAACCCCGGGACUGCUCUGGAAACUGGCGGGCUGGAGUACCGGAGGGGCAGGCGGAAUUCCUAGUGUAGCGGUGAAAUGCGUAGAUAUUAGGAGGAACACCAGUGGCGAAGGCGGCCUGCUGGACGGAGACUGACGCUGAGGCUCGAAAGCGUGGGGAGCAAACAGGAUUAGAUACCCUAGUAGUC
rnacentral:rRNA from 1 species